rnacentral:rRNA from 1 species
CAGCCGCCGCGGUAAUACGUAGGUGGCAAGCGUUGUCCGGAAUUGUUGGGCGUAAAGGGCUCGCAGGCGGUUUCUUAAGUCUGAUGUGAAAUCCCCGGGCUCAACCUGGGAACUGCAUUUGUGACUGUAGAGCUGGAGUGCGGCAGAGGGGGAUGGAAUUCCGCGUGUAGCAGUGAAAUGCGUAGAUAUGCGGAGGAACACCGAUGGCGAAGGUAAUCCCCUGGGCCUGCACUGACGCUCAUGCACGAAAGCGUGGGGAGCAAACAGGAUUAGAUACCCAGUAGUCCCUGUCUCUUAUACA